rnacentral:rRNA from 1 species
GGCGACCGGCGCACGGGUGAGUAACACGUAUCCAACCUGCCGUCUACUCUUGGACAGCCUUCUGAAAGGAAGAUUAAUACAAGAUGGCAUCAUGAGUCCGCAUGUUCACAUGAUUAAAGGUAUUCCGGUAGACGAUGGGGAUGCGUUCCAUUAGAUAGUAGGCGGGGUAACGGCCCACCUAGUCUUCGAUGGAUAGGGGUUCUGAGAGGAAGGUCCCCCACAUUGGAACUGAGACACGGUCCAAACUCCUACGGGAGGCAGCAGUGAGGAAUAUUGGUCAAUGGGCGAGAGCCUGAACCAGCCAAGUAGCGUGAAGGAUGACUGCCCUAUGGGUUGUAAACUUCUUUUAUAAAGGAAUAAAGUCGGGUAUGGAUACCCGUUUGCAUGUACUUUAUGAAUAAGGAUCGGCUAACUCCGUGCCAGCAGCCGCGGUAAUACGGAGGAUCCGAGCGUUAUCCGGAUUUAUUGGGUUUAAAGGGAGCGUAGAUGGAUGUUUAAGUCAGUUGUGAAAGUUUGCGGCUCAACCGUAAAAUUGCAGUUGAUACUGGAUAUCUUGAGUGCAGUUGAGGCAGGCGGAAUUCGUGGUGUAGCGGUGAAAUGCUUAGAUAUCACGAAGAACUCCGAUUGCGAAGGCAGCCUGCUAAGCUGCAACUGACAUUGAGGCUCGAAAGUGUGGGUAUCAAACAGGAUUAGAUACCCUGGUAGUCCACACGGUAAACGAUGAAUACUCGCUGUUUGCGAUAUACUGCAAGCGGCCAAGCGAAAGCGUUAAGUAUUCCACCUGGGGAGUACGCCGGCAACGGUGAAACUCAAAGGAAUUGACGGGGGCCCGCACAAGCGGAGGAACAUGUGGUUUAAUUCGAUGAUACGCGAGGAACCUUACCCGGGCUUAAAUUGCAGAUGAAUUACGGUGAAAGCCGUAAGCCGCAAGGCAUCUGUGAAGGUGCUGCAUGGUUGUCGUCAGCUCGUGCCGUGAGGUGUCGGCUUAAGUGCCAUAACGAGCGCAACCCUUGUUGUCAGUUACUAACAGGUUCCGCUGAGGACUCUGACAAGACUGCCAUCGUAAGAUGUGAGGAAGGUGGGGAUGACGUCAAAUCAGCACGGCCCUUACGUCCGGGGCUACACACGUGUUACAAUGGGGGGUACAGAGGGCCGCUACCACGCGAGUGGAUGCCAAUCCCCAAAACCUCUCUCAGUUCGGACUGGAGUCUGCAACCCGACUCCACGAAGCUGGAUUCGCUAGUAAUCGCGCAUCAGCCACGGCGCGGUGAAUACGUUCCCGGGCCUUGUACACACCGCCCGUCAAGCCAUGGGAGCCGGGGGUACCUGAAGUGCGUAACCGCGAGGAGCGCCCUAGGGUA